UCGUUCUCUGCGUGCGCCGGAGGCUGCCAUGGUGGGUGGGCGGCUUGACUUCUCCUCCCGGCCAGUUCUCGAGCGCCUAGCCGGCCUCGCCCUGCAGCCUCGCUCUCGCUGGCGCUGCGCGGCCUAGGGGACUGGGCUGCUGGCCUCCGGGUGCGGGGUGGGGGCAGGCUCUGACCUGGGGCGUCCUGGCCGCGCGAGCCGCGGGAUGGGGGCCCGGGCCGCGGAGGAGGCGCCGCUGCUGUGUCUCUUGGUGGAGAGGGCGCUGCCGGCCCUGCGCGGUUUCCAGCCAGGAAGCUUCGGGAAGCCUGGACGUCUGCUCACUGGAGAUGACACGUGCGUGGGGUGUUGGGAAGGAGGUGACUUCGCCUGUGAUGGACUUCCAGUGUGAGCUGUGAUGGACUUCCAGUGUGAGCACUGGCCAGAGUGACCAGGCCGACCAGCACCAGCCCUGAUCCAGAUGCAGAGGCCAGGAUGUGGGCCCAGCCCUGUGCCAGGAGGCUGGCUGGAAUAAAGGUACAGAUAGAGGCCUCACCCCCUCUGGGACCACUGGCACUCAGGGUGUUUGCAGCCUCAGAGCCCACCUGCCCCCAGGGCCACAGCUGCAGCUCCUGCCCUGCUGUCAUUACAGGGAUGGGCAGGCUGGCAUGGGGGCACCCGCUGCCCCUGCCUGGGUGUUGCUGUGUAUUCCUGCCGGCCAGGGGCCACUGCCAGGACCACGCCUCCCUUUUCAUAUCCCGAUUCUUAAGUUCUGCUAUUGUGGUAUUCUGGUGGGAAAAAAAGAACCGCUUGGCUGUUUUUGAACUGCCUGGAACCUAAGAUCCUGAAUUUUUUCCCCCCCAAGGGGGAAAAUCUAUAUGGAAAACAUUUAUUUUAAAAUACAGGAUGAAGUGAAUUAAAAGAUUUAAAUGCA